rnacentral:rRNA from 1 species
UGGGGAAUAUUGGACAAUGGGGGCAACCCUGAUCCAGCCAUGCCGCGUGAGUGAAGAAGGCCUUAGGGUUGUAAAGCUCUUUCAGUCGUGACGAUGAUGACGGUAGCGACAGAAGAAGCCCCGGCUAACUCCGUGCCAGCAGCCGCGGUAAUACGGAGGAUGCAAGCGUUAUCCGGAAUGAUUGGGCGUAAAGCGUCUGCAGGUGGCUAUUCAAGUCUGCUGUUAAAGAGUGGUGCUCAACUCCAUAAGGGCAGUGGAUACCGCGUAACUAGAGUACGUUCGGGGUAGAGGGAAUUCCUGGUGUAGCGGUGAAAUGCGUAGAUAUCAGGAAGAACACCGGUGGCGAAAGCGCUCUACUAGGCCGUAACUGACACUGAGAGACGAAAGCUAAGGGAGCGAAUGGGAUUAGAUACCCCCGUAGUCC